rnacentral:rRNA from 1 species
CCCUUAGAUGUUCUGGGCCGCACGCGCGCUACACUGAUUCAUGCAACAAGUUUUGUCCUUGGCUGAUAGGCCUGGGUAAUCUUUGAACGUGAAUCGUGAUGGGGAUAGAUGAUUGCAAUUAUUCAUCUUCAACGAGGAAUUCCUAGUAAACGCAAGUCAUCAGCUUGCAUUGAUUACGUCCCUGCCCUUUGUACACACCGCCCGUCGCACCUACCGAUUGAAUGGUCCGGUGAAAUCUUCGGAUCUGAGAGAUGUCUGAUUAAUUUCGGACGCCUUUUGCAAAAGUUGUUUAAACCUUACCAUUUAGAGGAAGGUGAANUCGUAACA